AGUGAACGCUGGCGGUAGGCCUAACACAUGCAAGUCGAACGGCAGCACAGUAAGAGCUUGCUCUUACGGGUGGCGAGUGGCGGACGGGUGAGGAAUACAUCGGAAUCUACUUUUUCGUGGGGGAUAACGUAGGGAAACUUACGCUAAUACCGCAUACGACCUACGGGUGAAAGCAGGGGAUCUUCGGACCUUGCGCGAUUGAAUGAGCCGAUGUCGGAUUAGCUAGUUGGCGGGGUAAAGGCCCACCAAGGCGACGAUCCGUAGCUGGUCUGAGAGGAUGAUCAGCCACACUGGAACUGAGACACGGUCCAGACUCCUACGGGAGGCAGCAGUGGGGAAUAUUGGACAAUGGGCGCAAGCCUGAUCCAGCCAUGCCGCGUGGGUGAAGAAGGCCUUCGGGUUGUAAAGCCCUUUUGUUGGGAAAGAAAAGCAGCAGGUUAAUACCCCGCUGUUCUGACGUUACCCAAAGAAUAAGCACCGGCUAACUUCGUG
rnacentral:rRNA from 1 species